AGAAUGGGCUUAGAAGAUGUUCAUGAUCUUUUGAGGAAAGCGAAAAUGCUGAGAAAUUGUUGCUGUUUUUUGAUCUCAUGAGGCGCGUAGUGGUGCUACGCAACGAAUGAGAUCAAAAAGCAGGGGCAAUUUAUCGACAUUUGCAGCCCUCAAUAAGAUCGUGAACAGCUUCUUAAAAAACU
rnacentral:miRNA from 1 species